UCGAUUCAAAUUAUAAGCCUUAUACGAACUUCCAAAUCCUAAAUCAUCAGCACGCAAAUACACGAAAUACAAGUUUAUGGCAAAGCCGGAUGCCCGCUAAUUAUUGCGAAUACGAUUGGUGGCAGGAUGUAAUCAAGCAACAUGGGCGUGAUGUUGAACUGUCAUUUCGGUUCAGUCAUUCAUCCUUGAUUGCAUUUGGUAAUGAUAAGUUUAGGUUGGGCCAAUGCUGAUGGCAAUCUUGAAAUUUAAUGCCCCAACGAAAAACUAGCAUCUUUUUUCAUUUCCUUUUCAAGCCGCUCAUUAAUUUACGCAUCUAACAAAGCGCAAAAAAAGGAUAAUUACUGGCAACACAGGGGCAUAUGAGGCGACAGAAACAGCAGCAGCAAUGACGAUAUGGACGAAAUGGAGUGCAACGGAAAACAGAAUGCAAUUGAAAUCACCAAAUGCAAAGAUAAGCUGCAGCAGCAGCAUUUCACGCAUAAGAAUUACGCGCGCAUUAAACGCCAGCCGCAGAGAAUCAGUGGAGCCUUUAUUUUAUCCAUUAAAACUCCUUAAAAAAACACAAUUGCACAAUUCAUGAACUCCAGAAGAUGCAAUCGCAUGGAGAUGAGAAAUGAUGCCGCCACAUACGAAAAGCUACUUGCAAGAAUUACUGUGUUUUUGUGUAUAAAUUACCCCAACAUAUCGGAAAACAGAGCCUACCUGCAAAAGAAACUGAGUGCAAACGUGAGCCAUUACUUUGUGAAAAAUGUCUCCUUUCAUUUGCUUUAAAAUAUGCAAUGAGGCAUGAAAAGACGUCUUAUCAUGAAAAUGCACCGAAAUGCAUUGCAACAAUGUAACGCCAAAGCUGUGAAUUACGUUCGGUAUCUUUUUCACACCUCGAGUAUAUUUUGACUUUAAAAGAGGAAAAAUAAACGGAGAUGCAUAUCAACAAUUUAAAAAUUA
rnacentral:sRNA from 1 species